UUAACACAGUGCCUUGGAAGAGGGGAAAGA
rnacentral:piRNA from 1 species